rnacentral:lncRNA from 1 species
CAAAGGCGUAGGGGUAGUGGGAGGGGCAGGGGAAAGGAAAGAAAGGAAAGGAAAAAUGAUGAGAAAUGGAAAAAAUGGAAAUAAAGUCUUUGUAAAUAGGGAAGGGUGGAGGGGGUGAAGGGAGGGCUAGGAAUGGGGAAAAAAUAAGAACCAAGAUGCAUUAUGUAAAGGUACAAUUCCCAAUGAGAAAUGUAAUUAUGUUGUAUACCUACAAUGUACCAAUAAAAGAAAUUAAAACAAAAAAACCCAAAAUAAUCACCUACCAUAGGCUAGUUUUGUGCAAAGGAAAAAAAAGCAAACAAAUCAAGGGCUAAAAUAUAGUAAUCACCUCUAUUACUGUAGCUAUAAUGAUUGCUGUUACUGGCCUGAGUCUUAUGUGCUACAGAAUAUGAUCUUUGGAGAGUUGUAGGCAUAUGUCUCUAGUACUUUCUGGCCCCCUGGAACUUAGCCAGCAUUCGAUGAGAGCCACAUGGAAAGACCUUUGGAGGAGAUAGGAGGUACCUCACUAGACCACCAUAGCUGAGGUCCCAGUCAACAGAACCAAGUGACAGCCAGUGAAGGAGCCAUAUUGGAUCACCCAGAAUAUUCAAGACCCAGUGUUACUGCAGCUGCAGCCAAUAUCACAUGAAGCAGGAGAAUCAUCCCUCUAAGCCCAGGAUUCCUACAAGAUCAUGAAAAUAACCAAAUAAGCCACUAACUUGUGGGGUGGUUUAUUAUGCAGCAAAAUGCAUGGAAAGAGCUGAAUCCUUCCUGGAAUGGGCUUCAGAAUUGUCUUAUCAGUGACUCAUGAGGUCAGCCCAGCUCCCUUCAUAACCAAACUAAUUCAUUUGAGCAAUGACAGACCUUAGGCACAGGGGGUACUGAGAAGUGGGAGAAGCCACAAGAAAAGAGAACUCUGUCUGAACCAUCAAGUUAUCUGAAAUUUUGGUAAGGAAAAUGUGAAUGUGUGUGCUAAAAAUAGCAUUUGACAACAAAUGGCACAAGGGAAAGCACAACAGGGUUUGACUUGUGUGAGUGAGACAAUGUGGACAUGCAUUAUUGGGAAUUCAGUGCUGACUUUGAGUCAAAGAGAGCAAUGUGGACCCCUGCAGUAGGAACAAUUAUUUCACUGAAUUUCCAGCUGGAGUAUAUGAUUUUGGGGAGGGAAUGUCAAUGGAACAUUUUUUUUUUUUGCAUAGAAAUGUUUUUACUCUAUGACUCAGUACCUUCUUUCCAGAGCUAAAAUCAUCUAGAAAUGAGCUUGAAUGACCCAGGAGCUAUGGAAUGCUAGCAAGGAUGAUGAGAAAUUCAUAUUAUAACAUGAUGACAUGACCUUCACAUCUAGGGAGUAUAAGACAAGUGGAAAAGAGGAUGAUUUGGAAAUGGAAAAGACAACAAAGCUUGAAAUUUGAAUGAAGACCGUUAAUGCUGGAAUCAGGAGGACAAACCAAAUAAAAAUUUAUACAGAAGAAAUUCUUAACAUCCUUUUUCUCUUCUCUAAUUUCAACCACUGAAGUAACAAAUACAAUUCAACAUUCAUUUUUAACAUUUAUAUUGAGUCUUUUUAGAGUAAAUGUUUUAAAAAUUAUUCUAUUAGUAGUUACAGGCACUUUUAUUUUUAUUUAUUUGGGGGGGGUACUGGGGAUCAAACUCUCGGGACCUUGGGCUUGUGAGGCAGGCGGCAGAACCACUGCGCUAAAUCCCCAGCACUUCUGUUAGUAGUGAAAAAAGCUCACCAUGACUUUUCAGAACUUUUUAUGAAAAAGGACUUGAAAGAGCAUAUCUCUAAGGAAAAAGAACCAAUUGACCCUUUCAGCAUAUGACAAAAGUGAUAUGAUUUCUCAGCAAAUACCCUCAUCAAAACAUCUAGCAAAUGGGCUAAAAAUGUUGUAUAGUAUCCUCUGGGCAUUUUGGGAAAUUUAUAUGUCUUCAUUGAUUACUCUGACAGUUGAUAAGGCAAAAAACCAAUGUUAUAAUUUAUGCAUUAUACUUAUGUGACAUUUCUUCCUGAUAAUAAUGUGACACUAAAGCAGAGAGGAGAAAUUGCCCUGGGUGGCAGUUAAUAUGGUGUGUUGUCUAUCUUUGUUUCAAAACAUUUUUCCAAAAUCAGUAGCUCAGUGAAAUAAGAUUUUGACCAGUGAUCAAAGCACAGAUAGGCAAGAAAUUUCCUGUUGAAAAGCAGUUACACAUAGUAUUUUAUAGUAGAAAUAUUAUGCAGAAGAGAAGAUGUACAAUCAUUUUCAAGAUUAGGAGUGAAUAUGGAGAAUUUCUACAUAUUGACUACACCAAGUUUUCUUCAUCACAGAGCCCUGCAAACCACACCUCUGCUCUCAAGCUCGAGGGCUUCCUCUCUGUGGCUGUUAAGUAUAUUACUAGAAAGAUAAUGUCUCAGGUUAGCUCAUCAUGGGCCUGAAAAUUCCCCCACCCUCAUCUUCCUUUUCUUCUCCCUUUCUCCUCAUUCUUCCAUGCUUUGUGUUUGGAGAAGGGUGACUUGAUUAGUGAGACUUAAACUAAGAGACUCCAGGAUCAGACCAUGUGGAAAGUAAUAACUGGCUGUGGGGUCAGCUUGCGGCCUCUGUUGGUUAGCUUUCCAUUACUGUAACAAGUAUCUGAGAUAAACAACUUGCAAAGAGGAAAGGUUUAUUUUGGCUCACAGUUUCAGAGGUUUCCGCCCAUGGUCAAUCGGCUCUGUGGCUUUGGGCCUGUGGUGAGAUAACAAAUCAUGCAGGGAAGCAUAUAGUGCAACAAAACAAGGAAGGGCUAGAUUCCCAGUAUCCCAUUCAGGAACAUAUCCUCAAUGGCCUAACUUCCUCCCAGGAGGCCCUGUGUCUUAAAGAUUCCACUGUCUCACAAUAGUGCCACAGGCUUGCAACUAAGCAUUGAUCACCUGGGCCAAACACAUCCCAGCAAUCGCAAGAAGAAAAACGAAGAUCCUGUAGUUUUCAGGAAUUUUCAACUAGGUCCUUAUUAUUCAUUUCUUAGGUUGUUGGUGUAAAUAGAAUUGAUCAAGAGCUACAAUCCGAUAUUACUAAGAGUUGUUUAGACACAGGUUCCAUUUCUAUAUAAGCAACAGGGCCUUUCAAAACCAACCAUUUUAAGAAGUAAAAUUUUAGGAACCUGGAAACAUUUACCUUUCAAAAGUGCUUUACAGCUUUCCAGGCCUCGUCAUACAUGAAGGCACUGUGCAAUUAUCCAGACAAUUUUCCGUCCACUUCCGUUCUCUUACCUCCUUCCCAAUGCUAGGGCUCAGGGCAAGUGACCCACGCCGCAGAAGCAGAAGGGCUUGCCGGAGGUGGGGAACGGGGAGAGGACAGCCUCCCUAGGGGCGCUCUGCCCUUCCUCAGCCAGGGCCAGGGUCCCUGCUACCCGGGAGGGCGCCUCCCCUCGCUCACACCUGAGUUCACCUGGAAGGCGGGGCGGGGAGCAGGGCACAGGACGGGGUCAGUGCGGCCCUGGAUCCGCUCAGCAGCGGCUCCGGCGCCCGGGCCUGGCCCCCUGUUGCUCACACUGCUGGCGACCAAUGGCGCCGCCGCUUAUCACCCCGGCCCCGCCCCCGGGGAGUGGGAGGGCGGGCGGUCGGCAGGCACCGGAGAGCGAGGAUUGAACUUUGCAGCCGACUGGCGGCGGCGGCGGCGAGGUGCCCGGCAGCGCGGCCCCGGUUCCGAGCGGGGAGCCAUGGAGUACGGGGCGCAGCGCGGCCCUCACCCUGUGCCUGUGGCUCUGGUUGGCGGCCUCGGGGGGCUGCCUGGCUUCAGGCCCCGGCUUGGUGGCGGCGGCGACCCCACGGCGGCUGGACGAGUCUCUGUCCGCCCGGAGCUUCCAGCGCACGCGCUGCGCCUCCAGGUGCCUCCGCCUGCAGACCACUCGCUUCUCCGCCUUCUUCCAGCACUUCCAGGUGUCUGCGUGGGGCUUGUCACUUUCCCGGGACCGCAGCGCGCGCAACUCGGCGCCAGGGAGGAGGAGUUCCGCCAACUCCGGGCCGCCCGGGACGCUCCCCACCGGCGGCACGGACACUCCCGGGGUCUCCAAGGCGCGCGCGGUGCCCCAGUGUCGCAGGUGCCGGGGUGCCGGACGCCUCGGACGGCUUUGAGCUGUAGCUUUCCUAACCGGCGGGUCUGGGGCUCGCUAGCCACCUCCGGAAGACCCACCCAGGGCCCCGGGGCCGACUUGUGCGCUCUCUCGGGGUGCGCGGUGCGCGUCCCGCUCGCAGCUCCAAGGGUUCCCUUACUAACCACCGGCUCAGAGGACCGGCAGUGGCAGGGGAAGGGUGGGGCUCAGGACGCAGGGGCCAGGCUUGGAUGCUCCGGGGAAGAAUCCCCGGGGCCAAGGGCUCCCCCAGCCCGAGUAGGUUGUUCCAGCUUGAGGGUGCGGAAGGUGGGGGGGAGAGGGGCGAAGGAGGCUCCUGGAAGUGCACUCCUGGCGCCCUUGGACCUGCACCAAAGCGGGUGGGCGCCCGAGCAGCUCCCGGACUCCGAGGGCGCAAGGCCCUGGAGUCAUCCACUUGCGGGCCUCCUCCUCUGCUGCUCGCCUCUCCCCUGAGCUACCCACCUGUUCCAACAGCCCAGCUUCUCGCCCCAGGGAAAAUUCUGGAGGCUCCCAGGUGAGGCUGGAACUGGAAGCAGAGCCCUCUGCCUUUACACUGGGUACCCCUCCGGCCGGCCGAGGCCCAGUGGAGUAGAGGGGGCUCAGCAAAGGAGGGGCUCCCGGAAUCAGGGAUCCGAGCAGCUGGAACCGGCGCUGAUCAGUUCUGGAGGGUGCAGUUUCGGGUGUCUGUCCGCAGCCCUCCGGGUGGCCUUCCCCGCCAGUGUGCCAGAGAGCGACCUACGGACGGCUCACAGUUGGGAUCUGAAGAGCUGAGGCCCACCGGUGAACUUUGCGAGCCUUUGUUCGGAAUCAAACAGUGUCUGUCAGGAGAAAGUAGAAAAGGACACUCAGCCUCUUUCAGGGCCUGCGGGGAAGCGAAACCCGACGCUUACCUCUGUAGCGAGGUAGCAGGACAUCGACAUCCAGGCAGGCGCCUGUCCCCACACACCUGACUCAAAUCCACCGCCUUACCCCAAAGUCCCUCUCCCCAGAAGAUGCCACGCGGGUGUUUGAACAACACCGCAACACAACGCAGAAACCACCAGCCCAUCUCCAGAGAGGACAAGGAUGUCCCUCCCUCCACCUUUUUAUUGUCAGUUGCAGUGAUUUACUUGUUUUACAGUUGCAGCGGCUACAGAAGCAGUUUAGAUCGAGCCAAUUCCCGUGAAAGGCUUUUCUCAUGGUCUCUUGGCUUGAUUUCUCUUCCCAAGAAAAACUACUGACAGAAUACACGUUGCCAGACAAUCCCGAUUACAUUUUAAUUAGCUCGGGUGAAACAGGCUGCAAAUUACUUAGGACCUAAUAACUGCUGGGCUUUUUUCUUGGUUUUGUUUUCUGUAAUUACUCGCAAAGCCAUUCUUGGAGACUUAACCCUAACCUGGUAGUGCCUAUCUGAUUUAUCUAAAUUCCAGGGAUUUGGCUUUCUUAAAACUUGAAAAGACAGCAACACGUCCUCCUUAUACAGCAAAGCCCCAGGCUUCCCUGGGGCCCUGGCCAGCCCUACCUUGUUGGAUAAUUGGAAGCCUGGUGGAGGGAUCCGCCUCAGGAUGUAUGAAUGGGCGCAAGACUGGGCUGCAGGAAGUCUCAGGAGGAACUAUUGGAUCAGUCCACUCCCUCCACACAGGGUCCUCCUGCAGGGGACCCAGCAGGUGCUUGCAUCCAUCUUUACUUGUACAGUUCUAGGCCUCUUUUUAAGAUCUUUUUAAGGAUGCGAGCAAGUUUGCCUCCAUCCAACCUGGAUGCCAGCCAGAUGUGUGAACUCCCAGGCAUGGAAGCAGCCAGGGAGGACCCAAUCUAUACCCUCCAGGUACACUCAGGGACUCGGGGUCCUAGGCAACACUGACCAGCUAUGGUCCACCUGGGAUCUAAUCAUCACCACCUCAGUCCCUUUCUGGUUCCCUGUACUGCCCAGCCCGGCAGCAAUUGGAAGGGAGAGCUGUAGGCAGAUGUGCACAUCUGGACACAGUGGCUGUCACCCUCCAGGGCACCAGGGACUCAGUACUAGAGCCUGCAGGUGAGAGUGAUGAUGGCAGAGAUCUGAUUACAGCCCGGAAUCCUCCCCCAUGGCAGGAGAUGUGUUAUGGUGCAUCGAACACAUGCUAUUUUUUUCCUGUGAUUGGUUCUGAGCCAUUUUGGUAGCAUCCCAUUAGAUGGGAGCGGCCAUACAACAGCCUGGAUGCCACCUGCAUUCAGGGAGCUGUGUGGUGCCAGCCCAGAAACCUGCCCCACAGCAGGAGAUGUGGUAAGGUGGGUCGAACCCAUUCUCUGUAUUCCUGUGAGCGGUUCUGAGCCAUUUCGGAAGCAUUCCAUUAGAUGGGAGCAGAUGUAUGGUGGACCAGAUGCCAUCUCCUUUACAGUAGUGGCGUGGUGCCAGCUCUGAAUCCUCCCCCGUGGCUGGAGACAUAUGUUUUUAAAAGCUGAUAAAUUAUAACUUUAAGUCAUUGCUUUAUGUGUAUUGGCAUAAAUGUAUAUAUUAUGUUAUGCCUACCUGUAUACUUGUAUUUAUAUAUUGUUGAGAUGGUACCAGAUUACUUUUUUUAAAAAGUACUCAAUAUCUUAAAAACAUAAACCUAAAUACCUCUUUGAUCACAUGACUUUUAUAAAAUGUUUUUAAAAGGUCAGUAUGGUGAUGCAUUCCUGUAAUCCCAGCAUGCAGGAGGAUGAGAGAGGAAGAUUUUAAGGCCACCCUGGGCUACACAGUGAGACCCUGUCUCAAAACAAACAAAGAAAAAGAAGAGUUUUAAAAGAUAUAACAAAGGUGUCCUCAACUGCUAAUGUAAAUUUUCACUACAUUAGCUAAUCAAAUUUAUAUUUGAGGUAUUUUAACUUUAGAAAAAGUUUCAGUUGCACAAAAGUUAAAGAUACUAAUUGCUGGGUGUGGUUGCACAAGCCUGUAAUGCCAGCACUCAGGAAGCUGAGGCAGGAGCUGUGAGUUUGAGGACACCCUGGGAUACAUAAUCAGUUCAAGGCCAGCCUGAAUUACACUGUGAAACCCUGUCUCAAAAAAACAAAUUAAAGAGCAUAAAAAUAUAAUUAAAAUUUUUGAGUUUGUUAGGAUCCUAAAAACUCUUAAAAAUCAGAGUCAGUUCAACAUUGAGACAAUAUGAAUAUACCAAUAUCUGGGUAUUCUUUUAUUUUAAAUUAUUUAGCUUCUCAAACAAUGAUAUAUAACAAUAGUCAAUAUAAAGACUGCUUCUAAAUUUGUACCAGGGGUCCUGUUUUUUGAUAGACAUUAGUUUAAAAUGUUAGAGUGUUUUGGUUUUGUUUUUUUUUUUGGUACCAGGGAUCAAGCUCGGGACCUUUCGCUUGUGAGGCAGGCACCAGAACCACUGAGCUAAAUCCCCGGCCCCCUUUUUUUUUUGAGACAGGGUCUCACUAUGUAGUUCAGGCUGGCCUUGAACUCACUAUGUAGCAGAGGCUGGCCUCAAACUCAAAGCGAUCCUCCUGCCUCAGCCUCCCGAGUGCUGGGAUUACAGGUGUGCACCACCAUUCCUGGCAAAAAUGUUAGGGUUUAUAACAAAAUCUAUCCAUAUUUUCCUAGACAUUAGUUUAAAAAGUUAAAAUUUAUAGCAAGAAUGCCCUUUGAGUCCCUGAUAACAAAAUGAAAAUCAUGCUUUUUAAUAAAUAGCAUGUAAAGGCCCAGGUCUAGCUAUUUCUUACCCCUGUAGUGGUCUGCAUGCCAUGACUACAGUAGUUUCAGGACUGGCUUCUUCCAAAAUGUUCUCAAGACUGCUUUCUUAACCAAGAGUGGUUUACGGAGCCUGACAGCUUCUACUUGGUUAUUCUACUCAGCAUGAGUUAGGUAACAGACCUCUCCUAUGGUUUAUUAAAGUUAAAAAAUGGAAACACUUUUUAAAGUUUCUAUUCAUUAGACAUUAUCUAAUAAAAGUCUACUGGAAAGCCUUCUUACUAAGUCUAUAUAAAAAAAAACAGGGAAUUUUGUCUUAUACACUAAUGUGUGUCUAAAUAAGCACUGUCCAGCCAUGCUGUACUUCUUCCUAAUUUCCUGAAAGAGCUGAGUCCACAUUUACAUAGAUAUUAACUCACUCAACUCUAAAAUGAUUAUACAAAACAAAUAUUUCUCCCUACAGUUCUUGGAUCUUUCCAGAUUUUCUGAGCUAUUCCAUUUUCAAUGCCCACAAUUAAUAAAAUUCACUUAUGGGUAUCCUUGUUUCCCAAAAUAGUUUGCUUUUGGUGACAUAAAAAUGUGAUUAUAAAUAAUUCAUUGAGGUCAAUAUGAAGAUUCAAGUUCAAAAGCCCCCAAAAAACCUUCAAAAAUUUAAAUAAUAGUCUGUUAUAGUGUAUGCAAAGGGAAUUUUGAGAUAUUGACAACUUUUACAUUUUUUUCUCAACAAAAGUUUGCUUUAAGAUUAUUACUUGUGUUUGUCAAAUAUUUUAUAUUUUACAUACAAUGUAAAUGUAGUUUUUAAAAAUUAAACAGAUAAAUAAAAGCUCUAAGUUAUUUAUAAUUAAGUUAAAAUACUAAAGAUUUGUUAAAUAUAAAUUCAUAUAUUAUUUAAAAUUUAUAAAUGAUAAUAUAUUUAAAUAUUACAUAUAUUUCAUAGGUUGUUCAUAUAUGUCUGAUAUAUAUCACUAACAUAAGCUCAAAUAUCUAAAAAUAGAGUUUUAUCAAUCUACAGGUCAACUAGUGAAAAUGAGCUUAAGAAAAUAACUCUCAAAGUGAUUGAGGAUUAUAUCUGUUUAUCAUUUUAAGUUAUUUAUGUAAGCACAAUUUAUUUCAUAUUCUAAUAACAGUUUUUAAAUUCUUAAAAACUCUUUUGAUAUAGAGUUAAUAGCUAUGUUACCUCAUCUUAAUGUGUUUGUUUAUGCUGCCUAAUGCUAAUAGUUUCAAGAGAUAGUAAAUGGCUUGCUUGCUUCUCUAUAAAAACUAAAGUGCUACUAAUUUAGUGUCUAUGUAGUCUUUGUUUAAAUUAAGUAUUUAAAAUGAGUUUUUAUUUUUAAAUCUCUGUUUCUACUAAAACUCCUUUUAAGUUCAAAAGCAAUGAUUUUGGGUGUUUCCAACCUCAAAUAUGUUAUACAUGUGUGUUCUUUUUUAGAUAUCCAGUGGUUACAUCAAUAUAUGACAGUUUGAGGCACAAAUAUGAUCUAAUAACAAUUUUUAAAUACUGGUGAUCCAUUGGCAUAAUUUUAUAAUAUAAAAGUUAUGUUUCUGUUAUAAAUUGAUCAUAUAUGUUAACAGUAUAACUUUUGAAUAAAAUGUUUCUAAAGACAGUUUUUUGUAAAAAUGUUUUUUAAAAAUUGUAGUACAAAAAAACAAUGUCAAAAUCUGUUUAAAAGAAUAAAGCUUAAGAUAGAGAUCUGUUCUUAAUAAAAUUGAAAGCAAAACUAUUUUAAAAGGCUACAGAUUUGUCGAAG